UCGUCCUACGGGACGCAGCAGUGAGGAAUAUUGGUCAAUGGACGCAAGUCUGAACCAGCCAUGCCGCGUGCAGGAAGACGGCUCUAUGAGUUGUAAACUGCUUUUGUACGAGGGUAAAUCCCGAUACGUGUAUCGGGUUGAAAGUAUCGUACGAAUAAGGAUCGGCUAACUCCGUGCCAACAGCCGCGGUAAUACGGAGGAUUCAAGCGUUAUCCGGAUUUAUUGGGUGUAAAGGGAGCGUAGACGGCGUGCCAAGUCUGAUGUGAA
rnacentral:rRNA from 1 species